rnacentral:rRNA from 1 species
CGGACGGGUGAGUAAUGUCUGGGAAACUGCCCGAUGGAGGGGGAUAACUACUGGAAACGGUAGCUAAUACCGCAUAACGUCGCAAGACCAAAGAGGGGGACCUUCGGGCCUCUUGCCAUCGGAUGUGCCCAGAUGGGAUUAGCUAGUAGGUGGGGUAAUGGCUCACCUAGGCGACGAUCCCUAGCUGGUCUGAGAGGAUGACCAGCCACACUGGAACUGAGACACGGCCAG